rnacentral:rRNA from 1 species
UAGCCAGACUCCUACGGGAGGCAGCAGUGGGGGAUAUUGGACAAUGGGGGAAACCCUGAUCCAGCGACGCCGCGUGAGUGAAGAAGUCUUUCGGUAUGUAAAGCUCUAUCAGCAGGGAAGGAAGAAAUGACGGUACCUGAGUAAGAAGCCCCGGCUAACUACGUGCCAGCAGCCGCGGUAAUACGUAGGGGGCAAGCGUUAUCCGGAUUUACUGGGUGUAAAGGGAGCGUAGACGGUUAUGUAAGUCUGGAGUGAAAGCCCGGGGCCCAACCCCGGGACUGCUUUGGAAACUGUGUAACUGGAGUACAGGAGGGGCAGGCGGAAUUCCUGGUGUAGCGGUGAAAUGCGUAGAUAUCAGGAGGAACACCGGCGGCGAAGGCGGCCUGCUGGACUGAAACUGACGUUGAGGCUCGAAAGCGUGGGGAGCAAACAGGAUUAGAUACCCGGGUA